rnacentral:tRNA from 1 species
UCCCUGGUGGCUCAGGGUAAAAGCAUCUGCCUACAAUGCAGGAGACCCAGGUUCAAUCCCUGGGUUGGGAA